AUGCCUUCGCUCCGCGCUUCACUUUACGCGGAUGACGUGGCUCUUUUUAUCAACCCGGUGAAGACGGAGGUUGCAGCUCUACGCGCGAUCCUAACGGCAUUUGGUUCGGCCUCCGGACUCAAAGUCAACUUCCAAAAGAGCGCCGUCCUCCCCAUCUGUUGUGAGCACCUUGAUGUGGCUGAUAUCCUGUCGCCUUUGGAGGCAAGGGUUGAUAGUUUCCCCUGCAAGUUCCUGGGCCUGCCAUUAUCGCUGCGCUCACUUCGCAAGCUAGAGCUGCAGCCUCUUCUGGACAAGCUGCGCGCCCGCCUUGCCUGUUGGAAGGCUAGGCUACUGACCUUUGCAGGUAGAUUGGUGCUCCUCAACUCGGUGCUGUCUGCAACCACGAUCUACUGGCUGGCCGUCUUCGCCUUGCCACCAUGGGCGCGCAAGGAAAUAGAUCGGCUGCCUCGCGCUUGGCUAUGGCGUGGCGAGGAAACAUGCCAUGGGGGGCACUGCAAAGUGGCAUGGGGACGCGUCUGCCGACCACGGGAGUUGGGUGGCCUGGGCAUCAUUGACCUGGACCGGUUCGGGGUGGCCCUUCGCCUGCGAUGGCUCUGGGCAGAACGGACGGCGGACGCGCCCUGGCUGGGACUUCCUGCCCCGGUGACCUUAACGGAGCGUCGUAUGUUUGCAGCGGCGUGCGCGGUUACGAUCGGUGACGGGCGCCGCACAAGUUUCUGGUAUGACAGCUGGCUCCCCGAUGGUGCGCCGUUCUUAUUUGCCCCGGAACUCUUCGAGGUGGCUCGACGCAAGUCGCGCUCCGUGUAG
rnacentral:rRNA from 1 species